rnacentral:lncRNA from 1 species
UGCCCUUUCCUGAGUGCUUCAGGGAUAGAGGAUGUGCCUUAUUCAUCUUUGCAUCCCUGCUGGGCCAGCUCAGAGCCUAGCAUACAAUAGACACUCAACAAAUGUUUGGUGGAUUUUAACGAAUUGCCUGAAAUUUUAUAUACCUUACUGAGUCCUCACAGCCAACCAGAAAGUGACUCUUUAUUCUACCCAGCCCUCAUCACAACUAAACUUGAGGGUUUCUAAGUCUCUUCUCAAGAAUAUAAGCAUCUGAAAGCAGGAGCCAUUUACCAUUCAUUCACGGGUUCUCAGGAAACUUUUGUUGGAUGAAUGGCCAUGUCUUUUUCAGUGGUUCCUCUUCUAUCUAGGACUAGUUUCCUACUGUUUGGGUUCCCUCAGGAGCUAACCCUAAAAAAAGGAUUCAAAUGCAAGUAGCAUCUGAGAGUAAACUACUUAUAGGCAAAGGAGUGGGGAUGUGAGAUAGGGAAGGGAAGGCCCCUAAGAAUGGGUGUGUUGCAGAAUUGUGCCAUCAGAUGGUGGGCGGGGGAGCUGGGGUAUUUAUAUGCCUGCCCAUCAGUUAUUUGUUGGGGGCUGCUUCCAGGGGGUGUUCAUACCUUUUCACUUCUGAUCUGCUCCAUGUAUGGGCAAAGCUGCCUUUAGAGGCCAGAAAGAGCUUCAGGAGAAGAAAGUAGACUUGGAAGUUGGGCUGGCUGUACUGAAAUGGUCAUAGGGUAUAAAUGGGGUGCCCACUGCCACAGCUGCAGCAACCUUGGAAGAUGUUAUAAAGAUACCAUUUUGCAGAUGAUGAAACUGAGGUUCAGAGAGGCCCAAUAGUCGACACAAAACCAAGGUGGGAAUGUGAAUCUGUUUUUCAUUCCGUGACCCUGUGGUGCCCUUCUCUACAGCUGUUCAUCCACAGACCUUCAAAGGAUGUGCCACCAGUCUCAGCUAUGCAGUAAACAGUCCCGGCAAAGGAUCUUUGUGCAGAUUUGUGAUUAAAGGCAAACAAGAUAAUGAGUCCCAGGACCAGGGGAGAGCAGUCCGCACUCUCAUGCAUUCCUCAAUUCACAUGGCCCUGGAAACCUUUCAGUGUGGCAGUGGCUGUGGCAAUCACUCUGCCAACUGCAGAAUAAAGGGUCCUGUCUGGAAAUGCAAUUAUUUCCAAAUAAAAGGUUUUUAAAAGACACACACGAUAGCAUUUUUGGUUUUCAGAAACUGAUAUACCAAAUAAGGACAAAAAUUAACUUUGUAAAAAAUGAAGAUGAUGAAGACAAUGAAGAGAUGGUGAUGAUGAUGAUGGAUGAAGAUUGUGGUGAUAAGCAUGAUGAAUAUAUUGAGAAGGUGAAGAUGAUGAAGAUGAAGAUGGUGAUGAUGAUGGUAGCAGCAACCACCAUUUUCUGAGCACAUAAAUGUGCCACUCACUAUGUUGGCUACUCUAUAGACAUUAUCUCUAAUUAUUACAAUAACCCUGUAAGACAAAGUUUAGCACCUCCAUUUAACACAUGAGAAACUGAAGCUCAGAGAAGUGAAGUAACCUGCCUGAGGUCACAACCUUAGGCAUGAAAAAGGAUUGACAGAGAUUACUGCUUGAAUUAUUACUCCAAAUCCUGUGCCUCUAACCACUAACAUAACCACUUCAUUU